rnacentral:rRNA from 1 species
UACGGAGGGUGCAAGCGUUAAUCGGAAUUACUGGGCGUAAAGCGUGCGCAGGCGGUUUGUUAAGUCUGUUGUGAAAUCCCCGAGCUCAACUUGGGAAUUGCAAUGGAUACUGGCAGGCUGGAGUAUGGUAGAGGAAGGUGGAAUUCCCGGUGUAGCAGUGAAAUGCGUAGAGAUCGGGAGGAACACCAGUGGCGAAGGCGGCCAGCUGGGCCGACCCUGACGCUGAGGCGCGGAAGGCGUGGGGAGCGAACGGGG